AUAUGAAGCUUCUUUGACCAAUAAAAGAAAAAAAAAAACUUCUUGAAGAGAAACGUUUUUCAAUGUUGUAUUUUGUUGGAAGGCCAAGUCUGGCCCAAACCCACAAUCUUUAGCUCUAAUAUGAACUUUUGGACUUGACAUUUAGGCCUAUCACAUAACAUGUAGACCUAUAACGUCUAGAUGUUCUGUUGUCUCCUCUGCAAUUCAUCGGAAACGUCAUCUCCUCUGCAGUUCAUCGGAACCGUCGUUGCUUCAUUCAUGGCUGGAGACAUUUGCUCAUCUGGAAUCCCAUGAAUAAGACGUUGUUGGCCGGCUCUUACGAUUUUGGGAUGCCCGUAAUAUUAAAAAAACGGUGAAUUCAUGGGCAUAGUCGUCCUCUUGCUCGACGAGAAGCUGUUCGUGCCAGCCAAUUCCGCAAUGUUUUACAAGAAGGGCGAAUCUUUUGUGUUGGAGGGUUUGAAGUGGGAAGGUGCACAAACCUCUACAAAAUUACUGACAACCCAUUUGUCAUCCGUUUCCUACCUUCAACAACAAUUGUUGAAGUGAAUCACGUUGGAGCUACAAUAGAAAGAGAAAAAUUUAUGCUUCGCAAAGGAGAUCAUCUCCAAGCUCUUGCAAACAUUAAUCUUGAACUACCAGGUAUAAUAUGAACAAAUACUCAUGAGUAAUAAUUAUGGAACCUCAUUAUAUUACAAUAUAUUUUUAUUUGAUAAAUGUGGUGGGUCAAAUAAGAUUUGUCCAAAGAUCAAACCUGGUUGACCCAACA